UACCGAGGUCUCGAGCGUUGUUCGGAUUCAUUGGGCGUAAAGGGUGCGUAGGUGGCGCUGUAAGUCGGGUGUGAAAUCCUGAGGCUUAACCUCGGAACUGCAUUCGAUACUGCGGCGCUUGAGGACUGGAGAGGAGACUGGAAUUCAUGGUGUAGCAGUGAAAUGCGUAGAGAUCAUGAGGAAGACCAGUGGCGAAGGCGGGUCUCUGGACAGUUCCUGACACUGAGGCACGAAGGCCAGGGGAGCAAACGGG
rnacentral:rRNA from 1 species